rnacentral:rRNA from 1 species
AUGGCAGUUGUGCUCCGAUACGUUGAUAAAUGUGCGCUGGUCCAAGAAAAGUUUGUUGGUGUUGUCCAUGUGGAGGAGACAACAGCUUCUUAUCUCAAGUCUUGCAUAGAUAUAUUAUUUUCGCAACUUGGUUUGAAUAUUAAACAAGUUAGAGGCCAAGGUUAUGACGGCGCAAGUAAUAUGUCUGCUAUUGCAAAAAAGAUAUUCGAUGUAGGAGAUUUCUUUGAUAUGGUUUCAGUUUUGCUGAAUGUUGUGGGAGCAUCUUGCAAGAGAAAAGACCAACUUCGUGAGCAUCAUCAAGAAGAAGUGAGGAAAGCAAUUGGUUGUGGAGAGAUCUCUACAGGAACGGGACUAAAUCAAGAACUAUCACUUCAGAGACCAGGUGACACUCGAUGGAACUCCCAUUAUAAAACAUUGUUGGGUUUGUCAAAGAUGUUCUCGUCGGUGGUUAAAGUUCUAGAAUAUGUUGAGAAAGAUGGUACAGAUACUGGAAAGAGGCGUCAAGCUAGAGGUCUUCUCAAAUAUUUCCAGACUUUUGAUUCUGCAUUUUUCUUACAUAUGAUGAUGAUGAUAUUAGCUUUAACAAAUGGACUGUCAAAAACCUUACAGAGAAAGGAU